rnacentral:rRNA from 1 species
CCUACGGGUGACAGCAGUGGGGAAUAUUGCACAAUGGGGGAAACCCUGAUGCAGCGACGCCGCGUGAGUGAAGAAGUAAUUCGUUAUGUAAAGCUCUAUCAGCAGGGAAGAAAAUGACGGUACCUGAGUAAGAAGCCCCGGCUAACUACGUGCCAGCAGCCGCGGGAAUACGUAGGGGGCAAGCGUUAUCCGGAUUUACUGGGUGUAAAGGGAGCGUAGACGGCAGUGCAAGUCUGGAGUGAAAGGCGGGGGCUCAACCCCCGGACUGCUCUGGAAACUGUACGGCUGGAGUGCCGGAGAGGUAGGCGGAAUUCCUAGUGUAGCGGUGAAAUGCGUAGAUAUUAGGAGGAACACCAGUGGCGAAGGCGGCCUACUGGACGGUGACUGACGCUGAGGCUCGAAAGCGUGGGGAGCAAACAGGAUUAGAUACCCCUGUAGUC